GGCCUCUCUCCCAUGGAGCUGUGGGAGGGUCCUUUUUCUCCUCAGCCAGGGCGGGAGGCCGAGAUCAGUCCUCGAGGACCAUCGUCGGGGCUGCCCUGAGCUGGGCAGCCUUGUUUUCCGGCCUCGAACAUUU